rnacentral:rRNA from 1 species
AAACGCUUGAAGUCAGUCGCGUCGUUCAGGGAUCAGCCUUGCUCUGGCUUGGUGUACUUCCUGUUCGAUGGGUCAGCAUCAGUUUUGGCCGCCGGAAAAAGUGCGCAGGAAUGUGACAUCUUCGGAUGUGUUAUAGCCUGUGUUCGUAUACGGCGGCUGGGACUGAGGACUCAGCACUAGAUGCUUGGGAUGCUGGCAAAAUGGCUUUAAGCGA